CUUUGAUUGAAAAAGAUUUUGGCGCAAAAAGUUUGUUAAUGCGCGGGAAUAUCUGUUUACAUAACAUAGGUAUAAUUACAGUUUUGAACCUGUUAUGCAACAAAUUUUAGUUUUGUGGUGAAAGGCUUGACAACUGUGGUGUUAAAUCUGCAGCUUAAACGAAUAUGCCUCAACGAAUCAAGAAAAUAAAACUAGAGGAAAAGGAAGAGUAUAAACUUGAGAUGGAGAGUGAUAUAGAAAAUGAGG